UACGAAGGGGGGCUAGCGUUGCUCGGAAUCACUGGGCGUAAAGGGUGCGUAGGCGGGUCUUUAAGUCAGGGGUGAAAUCCUGGAGCUCAACUCCAGAACUGCCUUUGAUACUGAAGGUCUUGAGUUCGGGAGAGGUGAGUGGAACUGCGAGUGUAGAGGUGAAAUUCGUAGAUAUUCGCAAGAACACCAGUGGCGAAGGCGGCUCACUGGCCCGAUACUGACGCUGAGGCACGAAAGCGUGGGGAGCAAACAGG
rnacentral:rRNA from 1 species